rnacentral:lncRNA from 1 species
CAUUCAUUGUAAACAUUUGAAGUCAUUACAAGGUUAAAAUGGAAAUCAUUACAAGUAUUGAUUCCUAAUACAAAAGAAGUUUCAAAAUGAGCCUAGGGUUUUACAAAAACAGAUGAACUCUAGAUGUCUGCGAAAUGUCCCUCAUCGGCGACGUUGCUCAUAAGCCCUAGCAGCUGCAUCUAUAAAUGCAUUAAUUGAGUCCAGUAGAGUUUUGAACUGCUCUCCUUGAGAUUGAUGGAAGGCUGCCACUGGUGCUUCAAA